ACGUAGGGUGCAAGCGUUGUUCGGAAUCACUGGGCGUAAAGGGAGCGUAGGCGGCGCGGUAAGUCGGAUGUGAAAUCCCGAGGCUCAACCUCGGAACUGCAUCUGAUACUGCCGUGCUAGAGUAAUGGAGGGGUAGCUGGAAUUCUCGGUGUAGCAGUGAAAUGCGUAGAUAUCGAGAGGAACACUCGUGGCGAAAGCGAGCUACUGGACAUUUACUGACGCUGAGGCUCGAAGGCUAGGGGAGCGAAAGGG
rnacentral:rRNA from 1 species